GUUUAGUUUUGUAAGAAACUGACAACAAACCCGAUCCCAUCUGAUCUCUGAAGCUAAGCAGGGUUGGGCCUGGUUUGUACUUGGAUGGGAGACCACCUAGGAAGACCAGGUGCUAUAGGCA
rnacentral:rRNA from 1 species